rnacentral:rRNA from 1 species
UUAAAUUGAAGAGUUUGAUCAUGGCUCAGAUUGAACGCUGGCGGCAGGCCUAACACAUGCAAGUCGAACGGUAACAGGAAGCAGCUUGCUGCUUCGCUGACGAGUGGCGGACGGGUGAGUAAUGUCUGGGAAACUGCCUGAUGGAGGGGGAUAACUACUGGAAACGGUGGCUAAUACCGCAUAACGUCGCAAGACCAAAGAGGGGGACCUUCGGGCCUCUUGCCAUCAGAUGUGCCCAGAUGGGAUUAGCUUGUUGGUGAGGUAACGGCUCACCAAGGCGACGAUCCCUAGCUGGUCUGAGAGGAUGACCAGCCACACUGGAACUGAGACACGGUCCAGACUCCUACGGGAGGCAGCAGUGGGGAAUAUUGCACAAUGGGCGCAAGCCUGAUGCAGCCAUGCCGCGUGUAUGAAGAAGGCCUUCGGGUUGUAAAGUACUUUCAGCGGGGAGGAAGGUGUUGUGGUUAAUAACCACAGCAAUUGACGUUACCCGCAGAAGAAGCACCGGCUAACUCCGUGCCAGCAGCCGCGGUAAUACGGAGGGUGCAAGCGUUAAUCGGAAUUACUGGGCGUAAAGCGCACGCAGGCGGUCUGUCAAGUCGGAUGUGAAAUCCCCGGGCUCAACCUGGGAACUGCAUUCGAAACUGGCAGGCUUGAGUCUUGUAGAGGGGGGUAGAAUUCCAGGUGUAGCGGUGAAAUGCGUAGAGAUCUGGAGGAAUACCGGUGGCGAAGGCGGCCCCCUGGACAAAGACUGACGCUCAGGUGCGAAAGCGUGGGGAGCAAAC